rnacentral:lncRNA from 1 species
AUUGGAAAAAAAUAAAAUCAAAACACACCUUUUGAAUAUGUAUUUUAGGUUUUUUUUACGUUUAAAUAAACUUUAGAAACAUCGAACUCGAUCAAACAUCUAUCGCUGCGAUCAACGACAACUAUCAUAUCCUUCUAAUUUAAUUUAAAUCCAUUGAUAUGCCUCCACGUGUAAGGAUCCUGAAAAAGUGCAUUCAUCUCUUUACACACAAAUUGUGCCGAGUGUAAGAUGUCGAAUGAAUCAAUCUUGUCGAAGAUGGUAGAGAGAGCAUCUAGAGGAAGAUCUUUAAACAAUGUCAUGAACAUCCAAUGAAAAUGUAAAUAAAAUGUGACCUCUAUUUAUAAAAAGAUCAAUGUCAAAAUUAACCACUUAAGGUGGUGCAGUUUUUCAAAACUAUUAGAGUAACAACUCAAUAAUUUAGUUAGUUAGCUGUGAGAGAUUAAUAUCAAUUGUAACUAUAUAAAUAAAUCAGAAUCAUUAAUAAAAGUUAAAAAAUAAGUGAUAAUUUGAUAUUCAAUAUGGUAUCAAAGAAAAUGUACCUAUCAAACUCCUUUGGGUAUUCGAGAAACAUGUGAGGUUAAGACCGAUUGAAAAAUUUGGCUUUGAACGGACGCACAUUCGGAUAAACCCGACACCCAAAAGAUCUGAAUUUCAAAGGUUCUGAUAACAUUCCAAAGCAAAAGAUUCGUCGGGUCAGUUUUAGUAAUAAUACUAAAAAAUCGAAGUUGAGGGUAACCGUCAAGAAUGGUCCGUACCAAGGUUUAAAAACCGGUUAACCGUUAACCGGUUCUGGCUGACCGGUUUUAUGGUUAGACCGGUAGGGGUAUUUUCGUAAUUAAAUAAAAC